rnacentral:rRNA from 1 species
GACGAACGCCGGCGGCGUGCUUAACACAUGCAAGUCGAACGGAAAGGCCCUGCUUUUGUGGGGUGCUCGAGUGGCGAACGGGUGAGUAACACGUGAGUAACCUGCCCUUGACUUUGGGAUAACUUCAGGAAACUGGGGCUAAUACCGGAUAGGAGCUCCUGCUGCAUGGUGGGGGUUGGAAGGUUUCGGCGGUUGGGGAUGGACUCGCGGCUUAUCAGCUUGUUGGUGGGGUAGUGGCUUACCAAGGCUUUGACGGGUAGCCGGCCUGAGAGGGUGACCGGGCACAUUGGGACUGAGAUACGGCCCAGACUCCUACGGGAGGCAGCAGUGGGGAAUAUUGCACAAUGGGCGGAAGCCUGAUGCAGCAACGCCGCGUGCGGGAUGACGGCCUUCGGGUUGUAAACCGCUUUCGCCUGUGACGAAGCGUGAGUGACGGUAAUGGGUAAAGAAGCACCGGCUAACUACGUG